rnacentral:rRNA from 1 species
GACGAACGCUGACAGAAUGCUUAACACAUGCAAGUCAACUGUGGCGGACGGUUGAGUAACGCGUAAAGAACUUUCCUCACAGAUAGGGACAACAUUUGGAAACGAAUGCUACUACCUGAUACUGUGAGAGAGCGUUGCGUCCCAUUAGCUAGUUGGAGAGGUAACGGCUCACCAAGGCGAUGAUGGGUAGCCGGCCUGCGAGGGUGAUCGGCCACAAGGGGACUGAGACACGGCCAUUACUCCUACGGGAGGCAGCAGUGGGGAAUAGUGGAAAAUGGACCAAAGUCUGAUCCAGCAAUUCUGGGUGCACGAUGAAGUUUUCGGAAUGUAAAGGGCUUUCAGUUGGGAAGCAUUACCAACAGAAGAAGUGACGGCUAAAUACGUGCCAGCAGCCGCGGUAAUAC